rnacentral:tRNA from 1 species
UAGAUAGAGGCCUGUAGGUUUGGGCAUCUAGCUGUUAACUAGGAGUUUUGUGGGAUCAAGGCCCACCUAUCUA